rnacentral:rRNA from 1 species
GACGAACCACCCAAACGUUAUUCGGAAUUACUGGGCUUAAAGGGAGCGUAGGCGGACUUAUAAGUCAGUGGUGAAAUCUCCGGGCUUAACCCGGAAACUGCCAUUGAUACUGUAGGUCUAGAGUACAUUUGCUGUGGGCGGAAUAUGACAUGUAGUGGUGAAAUACUUAGAUAUGUCAUAGAACACCGAUUGCGAAGGCAGCUCACAAAAAUGUAACUGACGCUGAGGCUCGAAAGUGCGGGGAUCAAACAGG